rnacentral:lncRNA from 1 species
CUUUGUAACAUACACUUGAGUGUAUUUUUAGUAAGAAUUCUUGUUCCAUUUUAGAGAGUAUUUUAGGAGAUAUUGAGAGAAAAUUUUGUCAUUUGUCCUCAUCACUAUAAGAAGACUUGUUGUACUCUUUUCUUUUAUAUAGUGGAACUUUGCUCUCAAUCGCCCGUGGUUUUUUACUUCUCAUAUUUAGGAGUUUUCCAUGUAAAUCUUGUGUGUUAUUUCUCUUGUUAUUUUACUUACUUCUCUUUAAUUCUCAAUUUCAUUGAUCCUGUGCUUCCGCAUUGCGCUGAUACCUUAACACUUAAUGUGAAAUUAAAAAAAAUAAAAUUAAUGGUGGAUAUGGCUAACCUUAUUAGACACAAUGGUGAUUGACCUGAGUGCUUUUUUUACUAGAACUUUAUGAGUUGUUAUUGGUAUUUUUGUUGAUAUGCUUUAAAUUUAAGAGUAAUAAUUUUAUGGUGAAAGGUGUUACAAAAUAUUCCUUCUAUUUCUAAACUUUUCAUAUUAUUUUAUGCCAUUAUAAUAACAAUAUCACAACAGUACCAAACUGAAGACAGAAUACCAAACAAAUGGAUUCACAUAACACUGACCACAUUUAUUUUAACAAAUCUUCCUCUUGAUAAUCUAUAAGACAAUCUAUAAGACAAAUCUUUUCAGGUUAGUUUCUCUACUGCAACUCACCGUACCAAAGGUAUUCUUGAUUAUAUUUAUUCUGACCUAUGGUGGCCUUCAAAAGUUACUUCCUAUGGAGGACGCCGCUAUAUGAUGACUAUUAUUGAUGAUUUUUCUCGUAAGGUUUGGGUUUAUUUUUUGCAGCAUAAAAAUGAGACUUUUCCACAUUCAAGAAGUGGAAAAUUCUUGUUGAAACUCAGACAGGGAAAAAUGUGAAGAAGCUCAGAACAUAUAAUGGAUUAGAGUUCUGCAGUGGUGACUUUAACGAGUUCUGCUGAAAUCAUGGUAUUGCUAGACACAAAACCAUCCCGAGGAAUCCCCAGCAAAACGGUGUUGCAAAACGAAUGAACAGAACUCUACUUGAGAGAACUCGGUGUAUGCUCUCAAAUGCUGGGUUAUGGCAUCGACGUGAUCUUUGGGCCGAGGCAGCAUCUACUGCAUGUUACUUGGUCAACCGUUCUCCACAUUCGGCACUUGACUUCAAAGUUCCAGAAGAGAUUUGGUCAGGUAAUCCACAUUCGGCACAUGUCAAUGAUGGAAAAUUAGCUCCACGAGCCGUUGAGUGCAUAUUUCUUGAUUAUGCAUCUGAGUCUAAGGGGUAUCGUUUGUGGUGCUCUGAUCCAAAAUCACAAAAAUUAAUUCUUAGUAGAGAUGUGACUUUUAAUGAGGAUGCAUUAUUAUCUUCUAGAAAACAGUCUUUUGUGUCUUCUUCUACUAGUACAGGUAAUCUGCAGAGUACUAGCGAGAAGGUGGAGUUUGUAUUAAAACCUGCAGCUCCUUACGUUGAUGUCCCAUCUUCCUCUACAAAUGAAUUUAACAUUGAUAACCAUCCUGAUGAUGAUGAUCGUGAUGAUAGUACCACUCCUCCUAUUCAGCAACAAGGAGAUUAUUACUCUAUUGCCCGAGACAGAGUUAGAAGACAAAUCAGAAAGCUAGUCAGAUACACUGAUAAUGACAAUUUAGUUGCUUAUGCACUGUCUAUUGCACAAGAAAUUGAGAGUCUUCAUAAAAAUGGUACUUAGGCUUUGACAGAGCUUCCUAAAGGCAAACGACCAUUAAGGUGUAAAUGGAUCUAUAAGAAGAAAGAAGGCAUUCCCGGGGUUGAAAAUCCAAGAUGCAAAGCACGACUAGUCGUUAAAGGCUUUAAUCAAAAGGAAGGUAUUGACUUUAAUGAGAUAUUCUCACCUGUUGUUCGUCAUACUUCCAUUCGUGUUUUACUUGCAUUUGUUGCUUUGUUUGAUUUGGAGUUGGAGCAACUUGAUGUUAAGACAGCUUUCCUACAUGGAGAGCUGGAAGAAGAAAUUUACAUGGAACAAUCUGAUGGAUUUAUUGCUCCUGGAAAGGAGCAUCUUGUCUGUCGUUUGAAGAAAUCUUUAUAUGGUCUUAAGCAAGCUCCGAGGCAGUGGUACAAAAGGUUUCACUCUUUCAUGAUUGGGCAAAAUUAUUGCAAAAGUCAAUAUGAUGAUUGCAUUUAUUUUCAAAAUUUUCAAAAUGGAUCUUUCAUAUACUUGUUACUUUAUGUUGAUGAUAUGUUAAUUGCAUCACGUGACAAGUCUUUAAUCAAGAAAUUGAAAACUGAACUCAGUAAUGAGUUUGAUAUGAAAGAAUUAGGUGCAGCAAAGAAAAUUCUUGGUAUGGAGAUUCGCAGAGACCGUCAAGCUGGUAAACUAUUUUUAUCUCAACAAAAGUAUAUUAAAAGAGUGCUUGAUAGGUUUAAUAUGAAUAAUUGUAAACCUGUUUCUACUCCACUUGCUGCGCAUUUCAAGUUAUCUUCAGAAUUUUGCCCAAAUACAAAGGAAGAGAUGGAGCAUAUGUCAUAUGUUUCCUUAUGCAUGUCAUAUAUGCACUAGACCAGAUCUAGCAUAUGUUGUUAGCAUAGUAAGCCGGUAUAUGCAUAAUCCUGGCAAAAGUCACUGGAGUGCUGUAAAAUGGAUUUUUCGGUAUCUAAAAGGUACUUCCGGUAUUGGCUUGGUAUUUGACAGAAAAAUGGCUACAACCAAUGAUGUUGCAGGUUAUGUUGACUCGGAUUAUGGUGGUGAUCUUGAUCGAAGAAGAUCUCUUUCUGGUUACAUCUUUACUCUCUGUAAUAGUGCUAUCAGCUGGAAAGCUACACUUCAAUCUAUUACUGCAUUGUCUACAAUUGAAGCAGAAUAUAUUUCAGCAACAGAGGGUGUUAAAGAAGCUAUUUGGCUUUGAGGUUUGGUCAAUGAACUUGGUCUUACACAGGGUGUUCUUACUGUGUUUUGUGACAGCCAAAGUGCUAUUCAUUUGACCAAGAAUAAUCCUUAUCACGACAAGACCAAACAUAUUGAUGUAAGGCGUCACUUUAUCCGAGAUAUUGUUGUUGCUGGUGAAAUUGCAGUUGAAAAGAUUCACACUUCUAAGAAUCCAGCAGAUAUGCUUUACCAAGCCACUUCCAAAUACCAAGUUUCAGCAUUGUCUGGACUUGGUUGGUCUCUACAACACUUAAGUGCCCUUCGGGGCUUUAUUUGGCGAUGAGCACUUGAUGAAUUCGAAACAAGGUGGAGAUUGUUGGAUUAUGUGGCUCUCAUUCAAUUACUUCAUCUAUAAGCUACUUGUAGUCAAGUCCUUAAUUGUGAAGUUUCCUUUUGUGUCUUUACGGCUCCUUAUCCCUUAGUGGUUAAGGUUUGUCUCCAAGCUUUACAUGUCAUAUAUGUUGCAUGCUUCACACCUCAUAGUUGCUUGCAUAUGCUUUACACCUCCUACUUGCUUGCAUAUGCUACUUGCUUGUCAUGUGCUACUUUGCUUCACCAUUAAGAAUUGUGGAAUGGAGGCUAUAUAUACAGCAGUCACAUGUCGUGAAUGGACAUUACAAAACCAAUUACAAACACACUUUGUAACAUACACUUGAGUGUAUUUUUAGUGAGAAUUCUUGUUCCAUUUUCGAGAGUAUUUUAGGAGAUAUUGAGAGAAAAUUUUGUCCUUUGUCCUCAUCACUAUAAGAGGACUUGUUGUACUCUUUUCUUUUACAUAGUGGAACUUUGCUCUCGAUCGCCCGUGGUUUUUUACUUCUCAUAUUGAGGAGUUUUCCACGUAAAUCUUGUGUGUUAUUU